UACGGAGGGUGCGAGCGUUAAUCGGAAUUACUGGGCGUAAAGCGCCCGCAGGCGGCUUGUUAAGUUCGAAGUGAAAUCUCCCGGCUUAACUGGGAGGGUGCUCCGAAAACUGGCAGGCUUGAGUCAUGGAGAGGGAUGUGGAGUUCCCGGUGUAGUGGUGAAAUGCGUAGAUAUCGGGAGGAACACCAGUGGCGAAGGCGGCAUCCUGGCCAUGUACUGACGCUCAGGGGCGAAAGCGUGGGGAGCAAACCGGAUUAGAUACCCCGGUAGU
rnacentral:rRNA from 1 species